rnacentral:misc_RNA from 1 species
GAUGAAGAACGUAGCGAAAUGCGAUACGUAAUGUGAAUUGCAGAAUUCAGUGAAUCAUCGAGUCUUUGAACGCACAUUGCGCCCCCUGGUAUUCCGGGGGGCAUGCCUGUCCGAGCGUCAUUGCUGCCCUCAAGCACGGCUUGUGUGUUGGGCCUCCGUCCUCCUCCCGGGGGACGGGCCCGAAAGGCAGCGGCGGCACCGCGUCCGGUCCUCGAGCGUAUGGGGCUUCGUCACCCGCUCUUGUAGGCCCGGCCGGCGCUUGCCGACACAUCAAUCUUUUUUCCAGGUUGACCUCGGAUCAGGUAGGGAUACCCGCUGAACUUAAGCAUAUCACUAAGCGGAGGA